rnacentral:rRNA from 1 species
UACGUAGGGUGCGAGCGUUGUCCGGAAUUAUUGGGCGUAAAGGGCUCGUAGGCGGUCUGUUGCGUCGGGAGUGAAAACUCAGGGCUUAACCCUGGGCCUGCUUCCGAUACGGGCAGACUAGAGGUAUGCAGGGGAGAACGGAAUUCCUGGUGUAGCGGUGAAAUGCGCAGAUAUCAGGAGGAACACCGGUGGCGAAGGCGGUUCUCUGGGCAUUAACUGACGCUGAGGAGCGAAAGCGUGGGGAGCGAACAGG